UAGUUUUACUUUUAUUUUGGAUUUUAGGAGAGAUGGCCGAGAGGAUUAAGGCGCACGCCUGGAAAGCGUGUUCACAAAAAAAAAGUGUCAAGGGUUCGAAUCCCUUUCUCUCCGC
rnacentral:tRNA from 1 species